rnacentral:rRNA from 1 species
CGUGAGAUGUUGGGUUAAGUCCCGCAACGAGCGCAACCCUCGCCUUUAGUUACCAUCAUUUAGUUGGGUACUCUAAAGGAACCGCCGGUGAUAAGCCGGAGGAAGGUGGGGAUGACGUCAAGUCCUCAUGGCCCUUACGCGCUGGGCUACACACGUGCUACAAUGGCAGGUACAGUGGGCAGCAAUCCCGCGAGGGUGAGCUAAUCUCCAAAACCUGUCUCAGUUCGGAUUGUUCUCUGCAACUCGAGAGCA